GAUGAAGAACGUAGCGAAAUGCGAUAAGUAAUGUGAAUUGCAGAAUUCAGUGAAUCAUCGAAUCUUUGAACGCACCUUGCGCUCCUUGGUAUUCCGAGGAGCAUGCCUGUUUGAGUGUCAUUAAUAUAUCAACCUCUUCAGCUUAUGCUUGUUGAGCGUUGGAUGGUGGGGGUUUGCUGGUGUCUUAUGAAGUCAGCUCCUCUGAAAUGCAUUAGCGGAACAAUUUGUUGACCGUUCAUUGGUGUGAUAAAAAUAUCUACGCUAUUGACGUCAGUCAGUUCAGCUUCUAACAGUCCAUUGACUUGGACAAAUUUUUCAUUAAUGUGACCUCAAAUCAGGUAGGACUACCCGCUGAACUUAAGCAUAUCAAUAAGCGGAGGA
rnacentral:misc_RNA from 1 species